rnacentral:hammerhead_ribozyme from 1 species
AUCUAGAUGACGAGUCUCAAAUGGAACGAAAUGUGCAUACUGGAU